CCGCCUACUUCCUUCCUCAGGAUUGGUUAAUCCGGGGAUUCUUCCAGAUGAUUGACACUCGUAUGCAUUUGCUCGGGUCGUGUUUCAUUGUAACAGAUUCAGCCCCGGAUCAGAACACAUCCGAUUCGAAUGGAUUAUUGGAUGUUAUUGUUUUAUAGACGAGACGCCGACAGUUCAGGACAGUUUCAUUUGACGCGACCUUCUGAAGAAACAUUUUUAAGAAAUCGAGGAUCAGCGCAUUUGAUCUCAUGACAGGUGGAUCGACAAUUAUAAAAAGAAGCUGAAGAGGGGAGAGCAUUUCAGUGAACCUAGAGUUAAACUUGAAAAAGGACUAAGAGAGACAUCAAUGUGUUCGACAGUGAGAACUUAUCAAAACAAGAGGGUCACACUAACAAAGAGAAGGUGCAGGCUUUACACAGGACCUGGAGGAGCAGCACAGCCGAGGAACAGGAGCGGUGCUCUGAAACGACAAGGAAAAUGACCCCUCCACAGCGACCUGCAGACCACAGUCCUGAUCAAAAGAAGAGCCUCUACAAGGACACCUUAAAGAAUAUUGCACAACAGGUCAUCUGUGUGGUCAGCUUAUACAAGAGAUGGGCAACUCUAGUCCUCAAAUUUGCAGCUUUCGUUCAUGUUCUACCUCAGUUAUCAAGCUCGUAAAUGCUCGAUGUCUUUUUUGUACUUAUGUUUCUACCAGUUGCUGAUCAGAAAAUAAAACAAAGAUUCCAGCCCCUCAAAGACUGAAAGAGACAGUUCUUUAUUUGCACCAAACAAACCAUUGAAAACUCAGAAUUAAAAUCAAAUGUUACUGUCACACUCUGAUGAGAUGUUCUAUCUUAAAUAGGUGUCAAUCCUACAAGAAUUAGGAAGAAGGGGGUCAUAGUUCUC